CAUAUAAUCCCUCCGUUCCGAAUUACUUGUCGCAGAAAUGGAUGUAUCUAAAAGUAUUUUAUUUUUAGAUACAUUCAUUUCUGCGACGAGUAAUUUGGAACGGAGGGAGUAUGAG
rfam:Triticum aestivum genome assembly, contig: Triticum_aestivum_CS42_TGACv1_scaffold_194219_3AL